AGAGAAGUGGAUCCUGCCCCCUGGGAGCUGCUUCGCUGGAGGACUCACACCAAUCUUCAUGAACUGUCUUUUGUGGGGUUUCUUGAGUUCCAGCAGGGCAUAGUCAUAAUCCAUGCCGAUGUCAUUGGCAUUGCCCUUGAUCCACCCCUUGGGCACAUGGGUUUUCCCAUCGUGUAUGCAGUGGGCAGCAGUGAGGACGUGCUUCUCUGCCACCAGGGUGCCAGUGCAGCCAGUAGACAACUUCACCGAUGUUGAGAAAGGAUAGUUAAGCAGGAAGUCCUUCCCAAAAAUGCUAAACCUGCCAUCGUAGCCAUAAAUCUGCCUCUUCCUGCGA
ensembl:antisense